rnacentral:lncRNA from 1 species
AGGCCGCCAAGGGAAGGAGUGGGGGAUUUGGCACAAGGCCGGUGAUCGAGUCUAUGCUCUCUCCUCCAUGGAAAGACCUAAAUUCAGCUUGACAGAGAGCACAUGAAUGGUUUCAGCUUGACAGUGGGUGAACUAAGCCAUUUUUAUUUAGUUUACUCUCUGCCAUGCCAAAGCCAUCAUUGUGAUCCUGCUGCCAUCAAGUCUCUGGUUCUUGUCAGUUGUUAGCUUGAGUUAAUACAUGUUCAUAUAGCUAAUUUGCUGCUGUUGUGCAUAAAAUUCUAGGAAGGUCUGGCUGCAAGUUCUGGUUGUAGUGUGCUCUCAUGUUGUACAUGCCCCUAUGUUUAGUAAGAUUAAAUUGCUACUAUUAAUGAUGAAUGCUUGAGUUUUGAAAUUUGAAGCAUCGCCUACUUUCUGGUCCUGUAGUGUUUAAAACUAAUAAUUAUGAUGCAUUGGUCUAUAUGGCCUUGGCUUUUAAUGCCAUACACAUUCUAGUGCCAGAUCCAGGACCUGAUCUUAGCAUUCAAGCAUACCUGACAAUGGUCUGAUCCUAGCUAUAAAAUGUAGGGGACAACAAUUUGCAGCAUUAAUUAAGUCCUGCUAUAGUCUUUUUUAAACUUCUUAUGAGAUUGAAGCAUUCGUUCUGAUUUCUGGUUUGCUGGUUUGCUGAUUGUUGUAGACAAAUGUAUGAAACUUCUUAGCUGUGGACGACAACUACUUCCUUAAGAAGGACCAGCAUCACGCAUCAAGUAUGCCAUUGAGGUAAUUCACCACUCCCUCCAGCACCAACUAUGUAUUUUCUCUAGUUGCUCUCCCAAGUUUUGUGCACACUGUGCGUCAAGUUCUCCCUAAAUGCAAGGUAUUGUAUAUGUAAAACCAAUUAUCCAAUACAUUUUUCACAAAGAGAUUAGUCUUCUUAUUUAGCCCAGAUGUUUUAAUUUAUGGAGUUGUUGCUUAUUUGGUCAGAUUUAUUUCCUUAUUGUAGGCAUAAGAAUAAGCUGAUAUGAACAUAAUAAUGAUACUCUGCAUGCUAUGAGUAAAGUGCUAUCUGGGGAACAAAAAUCAUUGUAUUAGCAGAAAUUGUGUUAUCAUUCUAAAGAACUUGUCCUUUUUUUGAAUGGCCUGUUCAUAAUAUAUUGGCUCCAGUGUUUUGAUUCUUCUCUUCUGAUUCAUGUAACAGGGUGACGGCCGAAGGCAUGAUGAUAGUUCUAUUGCUGUUCUAGUGUAGCGAAGGUGGCCUAGUCGACUAUGGUCGCCUAGUGAGUCGUGCAUACGGUUUCAUCUGACUGUAAACUUGAUGUAAACUGCUCUAAUUGUGGAGCUUGUUAUCUGAUUGUAAACUUGAUGCUGAUCACAUUUGUAUGUGUGUUAUAUGAUGUAGCACUUUGAUGGUUGAUAAUAUUUGAAGUAUUUCGUGUGUUUUCUGUGUGCCAAUUUAAAUACUAGGUAUUUAUUUGCGUUAAAUUAAAAAAAUUGAAGAAUAUUGCCCUGACGGCUAGGACCCAUUACUAGAACAUGACAAUGGGGACUCACCUGACUAGUGAACCCACUUUAUCACAAAAGAAAAAAAA